UGUUGAUGAUUAUGGCUUAGAUAACAAUUUGGACACAAAUAGUGUCAAAAUAAAUAGUGUCAACAUAAAUACUGUCAACAUAAAUAGCGUCAACGUGAAUAAUGUCAACGUGAAUAAUGUCAACGUGAAUAGUGUCAACGUGAAUAGUGUUAAUAUAGAUUUUAAUAAUUAUUUAAUUAAAGGUAUAGGUACUGCUAAUAAUAGCGGUGGUGGUUUUGGAGGUCCUACAUUACGUACAUAUAAAACAAAAAAUAAAAAUCAGAUUAGUGGUAGUAGUAGUAAUAGUAGUUACAACCAUAGUAGUACUAUUCCGGAUAAUAAAAAUGAUAUGUCUAUUUGGGAUAUAGAAAUUAUAAGUUCCUACAUAAUUUUAAUUUUACGGUUAAAUAAAAAAAUGUUUCGUAGUUAUUUAAAAAGGGAAAUAAAAAAAGUGUAUAAUGUUAAAACAUAUAUUAUAACUUGUUUUUGUACACUCAUUGAACUUUUAAGAAUUAUUCGUGAUUGUACUAAUAGUACUAACAAUACUAGUGGUGGUAGUAAAACCAAUACUAGUAGUAUCGAAUUCGAUAAUAACUUAUUUAGUAUCUCUAUUCUAAAUAUGUUAUGUGUUCUUAUUAAAUAUUUUAAUACAAAAUAUAGUAAUGAAUUUAUAUCUGCUUUUUUCAAACUCCAUGAAGAAGUUACUAAUAUCGCUAAUAAUAGUAGUACUAUCAGCACAAGCACUUCAAAUACUGUCAUUAGAAAUGUUAAUACAAUAUACGAAGAGGAAGGUUUAUUUUUAACACUCUAUAACCAUUUUUUUGAUAUUUACAAUGAUCAUUUUUUAAAUUUAUACAAAAAAAAGUGUAUAACACCUUAUGUUAAAAAAUGUGUUGAAUGUAUAAAACAAAUACGCUGUGAAAAAAUAUGUACUACUUCCAAAAAAAAUAAUACAAAUCACAUAGAUUUUAAUAAUUUCAUAUUGUUAUCGAACAAAUAUAAUAGCGAAACUUUGAAGCAAAAAAAAAUACAGAAUGUGUUGAACUAUCUGAACGAGUACACAUUGUUUUAUAAAACGGUUAUAAAGGAAUAUUUUGAUAGGUACUAUAAGGGUGGAGUCAACAGUAGCGAAAGACAACAUGUAUUGCUUACAAAAACCGAUUGCACAAACAAAGACACACUGAGUGAUACAGAUUCUAUAAAAAGAAAAGAUGUUAACGAAAUAGAAAAAUCGAAACUGGGCUUAUUAGAUCAUAUAAAAAAAAAAAAAAAAACUUCCGUAGCAACUGAAUUAAAAAUAGAAUUAGAUAAACAUAACAACAUAACAAAUAAACUAUUUGAAUUUUGUCAAAGCAGUAUGGGUCUAUACACAUUACAAAAUGAUAUAAAUUUUAAUUUAAAAAAUUAUUUUUACCAAUUAUUAGUUGCAUAUUUUAUAGAAACCAUAUUAAAUAAAAACAAUUUGUUACAUAUUUUAUUUUUACUGAAUAACAUAUAUUUUUCUGAUAUAGCUAAUAAAAAAACUAGUGCAUUUUCAAUAUUUGGUAAAUCUACAUAUGAGAUACAUUCGGAAGAAAUACGUACCACACUGAUACUAAGCAUAGGACUAUGUAUAAAAAAAAUAUCUGCAAAAUAUUUUCAAAAAUUAUACUCCAUAAACGAAGUAUUUGUUAGUAAUAACAUUUUUCAUAUGUAUGUAGAUUAUGUAUAUAAUAAUAUAUUCAUAAAAUGUAAUAAUUUACUUCAAACCGUUUUAUUUAAUAAGAGUACAAGUGUAAACCGUGUAAGUAGUAACAUAAAUUUAGUAUUAGAAAUUUUGAAAAAUAGACAAAAAUGGAUUGAAAAAAAGUACAAAGAUAAAAUUAAUUCAAAUGUAAAGUUUGUUAACGAUAUUAAAUAUGUACUUACUCAAAAAGAAUGCGCAGAAAAUGAGAAACAAUCAGAUAAGUUAAACGCAAUUGCGUAUGCGAGUAUUUAUGACGAUAGUAGUGGCAGUACCAGUUGUAACAAGAGUGGUUGUGACAACAUUAAGGAUGCAACACAAAACAACAUAACAAACGAAAAUGUUGUUUUUCUAAUGUUUCAAUUGUUAGUAGACCCUAUCAUUGUUGCACUGUAUCAGGAAAAAGAACCAAAUAUACAAAAAAGUUUAUUAAAAACAUUAAAAGAAGUAGCUCAAAAAUUAAAAAAAAUACCUUUUACCUCUAACAAUAUAAUAGAAAAAAACAAAAUGUCAUUAACAAGAGUAAACCACAUAAAUGUCGAGUUAGUGAAAUGCAGAACAUAUAUACCUCUGAUUUUAUUAAUAAUAAUCAUAAUAGUUGUAUUAUUAAUGAUAUUUGUG
ensembl:lncRNA